GAUGAACGCUGGCGGCGUGCCUAAUACAUGCAAGUCGAGCGAACGGACGAGAAGCUUGCUUCUCUGAUGUUAGCGGCGGACGGGUGAGUAACACGUGGAUAACCUACCUAUAAGACUGGGAUAACUUCGGGAAACCGGAGCUAAUACCGGAUAAUAUUUUGAACCGCAUGGUUCAAAAGUGAAAGACGGUCUUGCUGUCACUUAUAGAUGGAUCCGCGCUGCAUUAGCUAGUUGGUAAGGUAACGGCUUACCAAGGCAACGAUGCAUAGCCGACCUGAGAGGGGGAUCGGCCACACGGAAACUGGGACACGGUCCAGACUCCUACGGGAGGCAGCAGGAGGGAACCCUCCGCAAUGGGCGAAAGCCUGACGGAGCAACGCCGCGGGAGUGAUGAAGGUCUUCGGAUCGUAAAACUCUUUUAUUAGGGAAGAAAAUAUGUGUAAGUAACUGUGCACAUCUUGACGGUACCUAAGCAGAAAGCCACGGCCAACUACGU
rnacentral:rRNA from 1 species